rnacentral:siRNA from 1 species
UCGGGGCAAGAGCCAGGCCUC